UCCUGGGUCAAGUAUGCUUCAUUAUCACUUCAGACCUUUACGUUUGCUAUGGGAGAAGAGGUCUUUACCCACUGCAAACUUUUGGCUUGGGAUCCCAAUGGUCUUGACAGCACUAAGAAAGCCUGCCACUUUGUCGAAGGGCAUGGUUGGGAGUUGCUGGACAACUUGGCCCAGAGCAAUCUUUGUGACUGCUGUGAAUCGAAAUGCAAGUCAAGGAGGCAGAGGAGUGUAGCGUCAGAGAACCAUGGAAUGGUACAAAAAGCAGUCAUAGGGCCAUUUACCAUCACAGAUAUGAAUUCCUGAAGGAAUGGAUCCAUUUCGCUGACUGGUUUCUUCAAUCUGAAUUUGGUUUUUAUUCUUGGUUCUCUUUGCAUUUCAGAUUGUAUGUGGCCAAUAAAAAUUAAAAAAAGUUUCGGAACCA